rnacentral:rRNA from 1 species
CCUACGGGGUGCAGCAGUGGGGAAUAUUGGGCAAUGGGCGCAAGCCUGACCCAGCAACGCCGCGUGAAGGAAGAAGGCUUUCGGGUUGUAAACUUCUUUUGUCAGGGAAGAGUAGAAGACGGUACCUGACGAAUAAGCCACGGCUAACUACGUGCCAGCAGCCGCGGUAAUACGUAGGUGGCAAGCGUUGUCCGGAUUUACUGGGUGUAAAGGGCGUGUAGCCGGGUUGACAAGUCAGAUGUGAAAUCCUGCGGCUUAACCGCAGAACUGCAUUUGAAACUGUUGAUCUUGAGUACUGGAGAGGCAGACGGAAUUCCUAGUGGAGCGGUGAAAUGCGUAGAUAUUAGGGGGAACACCAGUGGCGAAGGCGGUCUGCUGGACAGCAACUGACGGUGAGGCGCGAAAGCGUGGGGAGCAAACAGGAUUAGAUACCCCUGUAGUC